UUAAAGUCACAUGAUUUUAUGUUGAUUGGCCCAUUUUAACGUGAUGUUACCUUUUUAUUUAGUCACACGAUACCAAACCCUCUGUUACACAUUUUGUACCUUAGCAAUAUAUGUGUUGGUUAUAUACAACAUUCCUCAUAGGACAGCAAAAACAAGGUAAUCCUUUGAGCAUGAUUCAUUCUGGUAGUCCUCUGGAAAUGGCCUUCUGACCAAACGAAAACCCAUUCACAAUGCAGCAAACCUAAUCACAGUUAUUCGACAUAUGGCAGUCGAUGAGAUUUACAAAGACAUUCCAUCCAACACUUCCAUAAUUCAGUUUGACAGUCAAUGCGAUGUGCAUCACACUGACAAUUUCGACACUAGUCACAACACUAUAUACUCAACGACAGUGGAUUUCUAAGAAGUUGCUGGUAUUAUUCGGGAAGUCUGAACACCCAAUUGUCCCAAAAGUAAAUGGCGAUAUUUUACAAGAUUUAGAUACAAAUUAUAAAAGAACUGCCCACAACAGUUCUAAUGAAAUACAAAACACUUUUCGUCGAGUUGUACUUUGAAGACUUGGGCGCUCCUGUCAUCACUCGCAUUGACUUCAACAAUAUUGUAACCUGCUUGUCGGGCAAUCAUAUGAGCCAGGGUGGUCUUCCCCAACCCAGGAGGGCCACACAGCAAAGCUAUUUUCUGCAUGGGUCUGCCGAAUUCAUCGAACAGCUCUUUUUUCUUUAUCUGGUCC